rnacentral:rRNA from 1 species
GACGAACGCUGGCGGCAUGCCUAAUACAUGCAAGUCGAGCGGAGUUGAUAGAAAGCUUGCUUUCUUGAUACUUAGCGGCGGACGGGUGAGUAACACGUAGGCAACCUGCCCUCAAGCUUGGGACAACUACCGGAAACGGUAGCUAAUACCGAAUACUUGUUUUCUUUGCCUGAAGGUAACUGGAAAGACGGAGCAAUCUGUCACUUGGGGAUGGGCCUGCGGCGCAUUAGCUAGUUGGUGAGGUAACGGCUAACCAAGGCGACGAUGCGUAGCCGACCUGAGAGGGUGAUCGGCCACACUGGGACUGAGACACGGCCCAGACUCCUACGGGAGGCAGCAGUAGGGAAUCUUCCGCAAUGGGCGAAAGCCUGACGGAGCAAUGCCGCGUGAGUGAUGAAGGUUUUCGGAUCGUAAAGCUCUGUUGCCAGGGAAGAACGCUUGGGAGAGUAACUGCUCCCAAGGUGACGGUACCUGAGAAGAAAGCCCCGGCUAACUACGUGCCAGCCGCCGCCGUAA